UAUACGUUCCUUUGUUCAAGAUAACAUUUACAGAGUAUGAUGUACAAUGUAAUUAAUUAUAUAUUUUUAAUGCAUGUUCAUGAUCAUUUUCAGCUCUUAUUUUAAUUAUUUUAUAGUUGCUGCAUUGUGCCUGAGAUGAUCCCCACAGCGAUGGCGUUUGAUAACUUGGACAAGUUGGUGGAUGUAGAUGCUUAGCCAAUCAGUCACUAGGCUUGUGAAAAUGAUCAAACAGCAAUCAUCUACUAUGAAGUAUACAUGCAUUUUACAGGAAUUUGGAUGCUCACAAGGACAAGAGCUGUAUGACAAAAAACCCCAAAAGAAAUUGUGCAAGGAAAGUUUGAAGUGUCUGUGGGACUGGGAAUGAUCAUUAUCCAACUUUCUGAGCCUUCGUACUGAAAGUGAAUGCAUUCGUGACACCAAUUAUCUGUCAACCCUAUAACAUAACCAUUUACUAAUUUCAUGGGAUAUCAGUGAGGAAGUGAUUCUCUAGCAAACACGUCAGAGGUUUUGGAUCUUCAUUACCGGUAAUUGGGAUCUUUGGCAUGUACGUUGGGGGAAAAUACUUUAGCAUCUGUUGAUUUUAUGGGAUGUUUGUAUCAAUAUAGUUGUGUAGUACAUAUUUUUUGCAUUUAAUACAUGUAUUUGUCACUCUAGUCAUUAACUUUGUACCAGUACAUAAGCCACUGGCAGUUCAUUGUAAAUGUAUACUCUGUUUCAAUGACCUCUCCAAUUCCAUGUCCAAUGUCAUUUAGUAAAACUAACUUCUUAUUUUAGAAAAUGCAGACUGGAGUUUACUAAAUACAUGUAUAUCUUAACAUGAUUAUCAUUAAUUUAACUAAAGUGAUUCUCCAGUAAUCAUAUUCUUCUCUGGAUAUUUUUGUAAAUAACCUUUGAUGUAAAAUACUUUCAGUGAGAAUACAUUUAAAAAGUGUGCUUAUAUUGUACAUCUGAGAGUAUACGAGGGUUGUCCCGUAAAAUCGUGGACAAGUUGUCUAUUUUGAAAAAUAAUCAUCACUGCGUUCUGAAAUUUUCACCACUUUUUAGUAGAUAAAUUAUGAAUAUACAUAGCAAAUUUCAAAUAGAUAUAUGCAUAGGUAAACAAAUUGUGAUAUUUUAUGUUAUGUACUGUAUCGACCUACGGCGCACGGAUGAUAACGUCAAAGUGUCUAAAACAGCGUCACGUUUCAUCUUUGCUAAACUUAAAGUUGGAUAAGCCCCACUUAAAUUUAGAAAUUUUAUUGAUUUACAUAUGUGAGUAUCUAUAACCAGUUAAGAAACCAAUGUGGCACACUCAUGCGAUCUUCUGAAUAUUUAUUAGCAAGUUACAGACAGUAUUCUCACCAUCAUUCAAUUAAAAGAGAAUCUCACAUCGACGGUCGACAGUGACAGCUUCCUUUGCUAUUUCAAAUGGCAGUCUGUCCAUAUGUUUUGUACUAUCUGGGGACUCGACCACGAAGACUUCACUAAGAAAACUUUCAUUUCAUUUAUAUACUAAAGAUCUGGGGAUAUUUUUCAUAUUUUCUUUCUUCUGUAUUCAUUUAAAGUCUCUUAAGGCGUCAUUACCACAUCCUAAUCUAUCUGAACUGCUCUCCGGUGCGCCGUAACGUCAUAAAAACUCGCCAUUUUUCGUGCAUUGUGUUUAUUAGUUUCCCAUUUCAAAUGCUCGGGAAACUGCUAAAAAUCAACCAAAUGCCUUGAAAUUUUUAAAAAGACGACAGAAUUGAUUAAGGAAUGGAAUUAGGAUAAUUUUCAUCCUAAUCUUAUGUAUUGAAAACUUUUAUUACGAAUUAAUUUUUAUGUGUUGUCUAAUAUAACCUUGCUAUUUUUACCGUGCGCCGUAGGACCGUACCUUGUGCACAUUCAAGCAGAAGAAAAUCUUUAUUUAUGAAUAUAUAUUAUCAAAAACAUUAUGAUUCACUUAAAUAUGAUGAAUAAACAUUUACUGAAAAUUUCAGUUUAGUGCGCCCAUUACUUUUCGAGAAAAACGCUUUGUCCACGUUUUUAUGGGACAACCCUCGUAUAU